GCUGCCUUAGCUCAGUUGGGAGAGUGCCAGACUGAAAAUCUGUACAUGUAGGAAUUCAUAGGUCUCGCGUUCGAUCCGCGAAGGUGGCA